GCGCUGGUGGUGGAAUUGGUAGACACGCAAGGUUGAGGGCCUUGUGGCCGCAAGGCUGUGUGGGUUCGAGUCCCACCUAGCGCACCA
rnacentral:tRNA from 2 species